rnacentral:rRNA from 1 species
GGAAUCUUGGACAAUGGGGGCAACCCUGAUCCAGCGACGCCGCGUGGGUGAUGAAGGCCCUCGGGUUGUAAAGCCCUUUCGCCGGGGACGAUGAUGACUGUACCCGGGGACGAAGCACCGGCUAACUCCGUGCCAGCAGCCGCGGUAAGACGGAGGGUGCUAGCGUUGUUCGGCAUCACUGGGCGUAAAGGGCGGGUAGGCGGCCAGGCAAGUCGGCUCGUGAAAGCCCGGGGCUCAACCGCGGAGGUGCGGCCGGGACUGCUUGGCUGGAGGCCGGAAGAGGAGGGUGGAAUACCCAGUGUAGAGGUGAAAUUCGUAGAUAUUGGGUGGAACACCGGUGGCGAAAGCGGCUCUCUGGUCCGGUCCUGACGCUGAGGCGCGAAAGCGUGGGGAGCAAAC